rnacentral:rRNA from 1 species
GGUUAAGCGACUAAGCGUACACGGUGGAUGCCCUGGCAGUCAGAGGCGAUGAAGGGCGUGCUAAUCUGCGAUAAGCGCCGGUAAGGUGAUAUGAACCGUUAUAACCGGCGAUACCCGAAUGGGGAAACCCAGUGUGACUCGUCACACUAUCAUUAACUGAAUCCAUAGG